UACAGAGGUGGCAAGCGUUGUUCGGAAUUACUGGGCGUAAAGGGCGCGUAGGCGGUCCCGUAAGUUCCGCGUGAAAUCCCCCCGGCUCAACCGGGGAAUGGCGCGGAAAACUGCGGGGCUUGAGUUCGGGAGAGGGAAGCGGAAUUCCGGGUGUAGCGGUGAAAUGCGUAGAUAUCCGGAGGAACACCGGUGGCGAAGGCGGCUUCCUGGACCGACACUGACGCUGAGGCGCGAAAGCGUGGGGAGCGAACAGG
rnacentral:rRNA from 1 species